GCUGGGGUAGCACUGUUGGUAGAGUAUGAGACUCUUAAUCUCAGGGCCAUGCGUUCAAUCCCUGCAUUGGGCA